ensembl:lncRNA
GUCAGGAGGCUCCCAGCCAGACCCCCUGCCCCUGUAGAACACAUCUGCUGCUGCCUGAGGAACACACAGGUCAGGAGGCUCCCAGCCAGACCACCCUGCCCCUGUAGAAGACACCUGCUGCUGCCUGAGGAACACACAGGUCAGGAGGCUCCCAGCCAGACCACCCUGCCCCUGUAGAAGACACCUGCUGCUGCCUGAGGAAAACACAGGUCAGGAGGCUCCCAGCCAGACCACCCUGCCCCUGUAGAAGACACCUGUUGCUGCCUGAGGAACACACAAGUCAGGAGGCUCCCAGCCAGACCACCCUGCCCCUGUAGAAGACACCUGUUGCUGCCUGAGGAACACACAGAGUCUCCAGUUGAGGGGGGCUACCAACUGUACCCACCGCUGCCAUCCAACCAGCUGCAUUUGAUCCCCCCAGCCACCUGGAGUGUGGCCAACCAAUGACUUUCCCACAAUUUACCUGUGGAUUCAAGAGAAACUCCCCAGUCUGGCCCGGAAAAAAAGAGUUGUUGUUCCAGCACUCCGCCACCAGAUGGGGCAGUCAUAUUAAGAACCCAGGUGGGGAGAAGGGAAGAAGGACUUGAUGAUGCCAUUGCCAAUGGUUGAAGGUAACUUGACCAAGAUUGGGGUGAGAGUGGAGGAUGAGCUGGAAAGAAGGAGAGGAGAGCUGAAUGAGCG